rnacentral:rRNA from 1 species
GACGUGUAGCCCAAGUGUUAUUUUGCGUAGUUGGGUGUAAAAGCUGUAAGACGAACUAGGGUAGAGCUAAAGAUGGGAUGCAAGGAGUGUUAAAUUUGAAUUCGAUUCUUAGGAUAGAAACUAUCGGAAAUAUGUAAUACAUCGCGAGGACCUGUGAAAUGGCAUGAUACGCGAGGGAUUACCGAUGUCGAAAGAAACUUAUUUAAUAGUUUAACGUUGAGAAAGCGAAGGCAUGGGUAUCGAGCGGG